CCAGCGCUUCCGGUCGGCAGGAGGCGGGGCGAGGCGGAAGCGGCGCUUGCUUCAGUGACCACAAUAUGAAUGGGAACAGCAAGACGGCAAAAGCUUGCUGAGUGGUGCAGCGCCAGCCUGGGUAGUGGCCUCCCCAGCAAGUUGCAUGUCACUAGCUUCCUGUGGCUGUCACUCCUGGGCCCAGGCACCUCCGAAGAUCAGCACCUCCUCAUGGGCUCAAGCGAGGACAGGAGCCCGUCACCCAUGAGCUCGCAAGGGCAGAGCCACUGUCCUGUCUCGAUGGCUCCACCGUGACUCCAGUGGACUUUGGACAGUGGGGAGCAGGCCCAAUAGGGCCACUCGGAUGUGGUCACUCUGGAUUUGGGUGGAUCAGCACCAAGCUAGACUCAUCCCCAGCCCCCAGGUGCUGUUGCGCUCCUGCGUGAGUCCCCAUCCACAGCUGCAGCUGUGGCGGGGUGGCUAGUGGUGGCCAGCAUGGCCCUGCUGUAGCUCCACGCUGUGGGGGGCGUGGCCCUGACCAGCAGCCACC
rnacentral:lncRNA from 1 species